rnacentral:rRNA from 1 species
ACGGAAGGCAGCAGUGAGGAAUAUUGGUCAAUGGGCGGAAGCCUGAACCAGCCAAGUAGCGUGCAGGAUGACGGCCCUAUGGGUUGUAAACUUCUUUUAUAGGGGGAUAAAGUGAGGCAUGUAUGCCUUUUUGUAGGUACCCUAUGAAUAGGCAUCGGCUAACUCCGUGCCAGCAGCCGCGGUAAUACGGAGGAUGCGAGCGUUAUCCGGAUUUAUUGGGUUUAAAGGGUGCGCAGGCGGCACGUUAAGUCAGCGGUGAAAUGCAGGGGCUCAACCCCGGCACUGCCGUUGAAACUGGCGAGCUCGAGUACGGAUGAAGUCGGCGGAAUGUGAUGUGUAGCGGUGAAAUGCUUAGAUAUGUCACAGAACACCGAUUGCGAAGGCAGCUGACUAAUCCGCAACUGACGCUCAGGCACGAAAGCGUGGGGAUCGAACAGGAUUAGAUACCCUGGUA